rnacentral:rRNA from 1 species
UACGUAGGGAGCGAGCGUUGUCCGGAAUCAUUGGGCGUAAAGCGCGCGUAGGCGGCCCGAUAAGUCCGCUGUAAAAGUCAACGGCUCAACUGUUGAAAGCCGGUGGAUACUGUCGGGCUAGAGUACGGAAGAGGCAAGUGGAAUUCCUGGUGUAGCGGUGGAAUGCGCAGAUAUCAGGAGGAACAGCCCAUAGCGAAGGCAGCUUGCUGGGACGUUACUGACGCUAAGGCGCGAAAGCGUGGGGAGCGAACAGGA